rnacentral:rRNA from 1 species
CCUACGGGGGGCUGCAGUGGGGAAUAUUGGACAAUGGGGGCAACCCUGAUCCAGCCAUGCCGCGUGUGUGAAGAAGGCCCUCGGGUUGUAAAGCACUUUCAGUGAGGAAGAACGCCUGGUGGUUAAUACCCAUCAGGAAAGACAUCACUCACAGAAGAAGCACCGGCUAACUCCGUGCCAGCAGCCGCGGUAAUACGGAGGGUGCGAGCGUUAAUCGGAAUUACUGGGCGUAAAGCGCGCGUAGGUGGCUUGAUAAGCCGGUUGUGAAAGCCCCGGGCUCAACCUGGGAACGGCAUCCGGAACUGUCAAGCUAGAGUGCAGGAGAGGAAGGUAGAAUUCCCGGUGUAGCGGUGAAAUGCGUAGAGAUCGGGAGGAAUACCAGUGGCGAAGGCGGCCUUCUGGACUGACACUGACACUGAGGUGCGAAAGCGUGGGUAGCAAACAGGAUUAGAUACCCUUGUAGUA